AUAAAGACAAAAGUGGAAAGGCGAGCCAGCUGUAGUGGGGGGGAGGUGGGACGUAGCCGCACUCCUGCCAGCUGAGGGCCCCCCGCGGAGCUUCUGGGGGAGGGCGUGGGCGUAGCUUGGCUAGGGGGACACUGGGGACAGUAGCGCAGACGGGGAAGGCCCGGCAGUCGCGUUCGCGCGUGCGUCCCACUAUACUCUCCCUCUUCUCCCCCCUCCCCCCCACCCAGACGCACGCUCCCUUCCCACGCCCCCGCCCUCCUCCUGCCCACCGGGAGAGUCGGAACCCCAGCCCUAGUCGAGCAGAGGGAGAGAGCUCAGUCGUGCGCCCCGGGGGCGGAGAGGGUGGGGAAAGGAGGGAGGAGGGGAGGUGGAGUGAGGGGGAAGGAAAGAGGGAAGCAGCAGCAAAGAAAAGGAAAGCAAAGACCACCAAAGCGAGGCCAGAGCCGAGGGAGGCGGGGGCUGGGGCUGGUAGGGAAGGGAAGGGCGCGUGAAGCCCAGAGUCGCAGCUGCCCCGGAGCGCGCUGAGGUCGCCGCCGCCGCCGCCCUGUCGCUCUGGCCGCCCGGGAUCGCUGAGCCUCCGGGGAGCGGGGGCCAGAUCCACAACAUGAGCCAAGUCUGAGAGCCACAGGCCAAAGGAGGAAGAGACCGAGCGGAGAUUGAGCACGGUGGAGAAUUGGGGAUGUGGAGGCUGAAGCCAAUGGGCUUUGUCACCCCUGCAGGGGCCAGGGCUCCCCAUUGAGGCUGGACUGAAGGGACCUUAUUUGAUGCAGAUCUGAGCCCACUUUGCUUCUCUGAGG